AAAUAGAUACCCCGGUAGUCCACGCCCGUAAACGAUGGAUACUAGCUGUUGGGCGCGAAGUUCAGUGGCUAAGCGAAAGUGAUAAGUAUCCCACCUGGGGAGUACGAACGCAAGUUUGAAACUCAAAGGAAUUGACGGGGGCCCGCACAAGCGGUGGAGCAUGUGGUUUAAUUCGAUGAUACGCGAGGAACCUUACCAAGGCUUAAAUGCAGACUGACCGGUUUGGAAACAGACCUUUCGCAAGACAGUCUACAAGGUGCUGCAUGGUUGUCGUCAGCUCGUGCCGUGAGGUGUCAGGUUAAGUCCUAUAACGAGCGCAACCCCUGUUGCUAGUUGCCAGCGAGUCAUGUCGGGAACUCUAGCAAGACUGCCAGUGCAAACUGUGAGGAAGGUGGGGAUGACGUCAAAUCAUCACGGCCCUUACGCCUUGGGCUACACACGUGCUACAAUGGCCGGUACAGAGAGCAGCCACCCCGGCGAGGGGGAGCGAAUCUAUAAAGCCGGUCACAGUUCGGAUCGGAGUCUGCAACG
rnacentral:rRNA from 1 species